UUCCAAUGGAGGCAGCUACCAGCCGGUUGAGACGCACACAAAGACACGAUCGAGCGUCUCAGCUGUUGUGUGAGUGUGUGUGAGCGUGCUGUCAUCUCAUCUGCCAAAUAAGAAAGCACUAGCUCAGUAAAGCAAUGCUAAAUAUAUAUGUACAUAUACUCUGCCAGCUCAGCUCGUCAGCCUGAUCAGGUUGAGUGUGAGAACGUAACUCCCUAGACACUCAGAGAAAAUUAGUGAUCCAUUUUCAGUGGUUCCUCGCCUAUUUAAGUGCGAGCCUGCAGCAGAGCUCGAUCAGUUGUGUUCCUGACGUUGUGGCAUUCAGUUGGCGAGCAGUGUUCCUCUUUUGUGUUGGAUACGUAUUUUAGUUAAUAAUUUGUUAAUAACUAAUAGUUUGUAAGCUAUACAUAAUCUUAAGAAUUGUAUGAUAAACAAUGUAAUUAAUAUAUAUUUGUUUUAAUAUUUGUAUUAUAAUUAUCUCAUCAUCGUCAUCUACUUCAUCAUUUUUCUUCUUCAUUAUGCUAAUCUUCUUCUUCAUCUCUGCCGCCAUCAACUUCAUCAUCAAUUAUAAUUACAACUAUUAAGUAUCAAGCACAAUUAUCAAAUUGUGUUGCCUUACAUAACAACCUUAUUAGCUUCAUUUUUCAAAUAGCAAUAACUAUAAUCAUAAUUAUCAUUCUACACAUUUUUAUAAUAAUUAUGACUAUUCGAGUAUAUGUCUCUACAUAUGUAUAUUACAACUUUUCCCCUUAUUUUAUGUUUACAGCCAACAUUAAAAAUUUUUGUCUUAAUGUGAUCGAUAUUCUGGCUCUUUAGCAAUUAUUUCUGCAAGUUUCUAAUAAUAAUAUAAUAUAAAAUAAUAAUAAUAUAUCCUCAUAGCAUUUAUUAAGGCUAUGACUCUUUCUUGCAAUUUUCGCUCUAGCCUAUAUCCUUUUCUCUUUUAGUUAAGUAUAGAGUGUUUGAAAGUUAGUAAGCUUCCCCAAUAAUAUGCAUAAUUAAAAAAUUUAUUACGAAUAUCAUUUCAGAGAAAUUUGUAAUUGGAUAUUACAACCUUGUGAAAUUGUAAAUUUAAUUAUGAUUCGAUCAUAAAACCGACUCUGCAGAAAUAAGCUUUGCAAUUUUAUUUCUUCUCACAUAUAUAAUCUAUAAAAUUCGCUGUUUGCUGUAAUAAAAUCCGUACACCCAUCCACGGUGCCAGCGACUGGAACAUAAGCAAUGGGCGUGUUUUCACUGCUGCCCAUUGGCGAAACCCAACGCUUAUAUACUCGUUCGUAUAUCUUAUAGAAAACAAUUUAAUCCAACUGUUUAGCUGCUUUGUGUCGCUCUAAUUUUUUCCAGCUCUUUGUGCUUUUGCC